AGAUUGAACGCUGGCGGCAGGCCUAACACGUGCAAGUCGAGCGGUAGAGAGGUGCUUGCACCUCUUGAGAGCGGCGGACGGGUGAGUAAUGCCUAGGAAUCUGCCUAGUGGUGGGGGAUAACGUUCGGAAACGGACGCUAAUACCGCAUACGUCCUACGGGAGAAAGCGGGGGACCUUCGGGCCUCGCGCCAUUAGAUGAGCCUAGGUCAGAUUAGCUAGUUGGUGAGGUAAAGGCUCACCAAGGCGACGAUCUGUAGCUGGUUUGAGAGGACGACCAGCCACACUGGGACUGAGACACGGCCCAGACUCCUACGGGAGGCAGCAGUGGGAAUUUGGACAAUGGGGAACCUGAUCAGCCAUCCCGCGUGUGCGAUGAAGGCCUUCGGUUGUAAGCACUUUGGCAGGGUAAGAAACGGCGUGCCCUAAGUACGGACGUCACGUGACGGUACCUGCAGAAUAACGACUACCGGCUAACUACGUAGACCAGCAGCCGCGUAAC
rnacentral:rRNA from 1 species